rnacentral:lncRNA from 1 species
GGUGAAGCAGAAUAAAAUAUAAAGCAUGGAAUGGUAUUGUUCUUUUUCAAUAAAUCACCAUGAAUACAAAGAUUACAUACAUAGUCGGAGAGAAGUAUGCUUGCUAGGAGAUACAAAGGCCAAGAAACCAUAUGACCUUCUGAAAAAAUUACAAUCCUCAACAGUCUAGUCCACAUGUCUGUGUAGAGCUUUGCCUAGCUUAGAAUAUCCAAAAUCAUAGGUCA